UACAGAGGUCUCAACCGUUGUUCGGAUUCAUUGGGCGUAAAGGGUGCGUAGGCGGUCGGGUAAGUCGGAUGUGAAAUCUCAGGGCUCAACCCUGAAACUGCAUUCGAUACUGCUUGGCUAGGGUACUGGAGAGGAGAUUGGAAUUUACGGUGUAGCAGUGAAAUGCGUAGAUAUCGUAAGGAAGACCAGUGGCGAAGGCGAGUCUCUGGACAGUUACCGACGCUGAGGCACGAAGGCCAGGGGAGCAAACGGG
rnacentral:rRNA from 1 species